rnacentral:rRNA from 1 species
UACGUAGGGUGCAAGCGUUGUCCGGAAUUAUUGGGCGUAAAGAGCUCGUAGGCGGUCUGUCGCGUCGGCUGUGAAAACUCGGGGCUCAACUCCGAGCUUGCAGUCGAUACGGGCAGGCUAGAGUUCGGCAGGGGAGACUGGAAUUCCUGGUGUAGCGGUGAAAUGCGCAGAUAUCAGGAGGAACACCGGUGGCGAAGGCGGGUCUCUGGGCCAUUACUGACGCUGAGGAGCGAAAGCGUGGGGAGCGAACAGG